rnacentral:rRNA from 1 species
CCUACGGGAGGCAGCAGUAGGGAAUAUUGCUCAAUGGGGGAAACCCUGAAGCAGCAACGCCGCGUGGAGGAUGAAGGUUUUCGGAUUGUAAACUCCUUUUGUUAGAGAAGAUAAUGACGGUAUCUAACGAAUAAGUACCGGCUAACUCCGUGCCAGCAGCCGCGGUAAUACGGGGGGUGCGAGCGUUUCUCGGAUUCACUCGGCGUAAAGAGCGCGUAGGCGGGAUAGCAAGUCAGAUGUGAAAUCCUAUGGCUUAACCGUAGAACUGCAUUUGAAACUGUUAGUCUAGAGUAUGGGAGAGGAAGGCGGAAUUCAUGGUGUAGGGGUAAAAUCCGUAGAGAUCAAGAGGAAGACGCAUUGCGAAGGCGACCGGCUAGAACAUAACUGACGCUGAGGCGCGAAAGCGUGGGGAGCAAACAGGAUUAGAUACCCGAGUAGUC